rnacentral:rRNA from 1 species
GGACAUGUGGAGCGCUUAGAAGUGAGAAUGCCGGUGUGAGUAGCGAAAGACGGGUGAGAAUCCCGUCCACCGAUUGACUAAGGUUUCCAGAGGAAGGCUCGUCCGCUCUGGGUUAGUCGGGUCCUAAGCUCAGGCCGACAGGCGUAGGCGAUGGCUAUCAGGUUGAUAUUCCUGUACCACCUAUAAUCGUUUUAAUGGUUGGGGGGACGCAGUAGGAGAGGCGAAGCGUGCGAUUGGAUUGCACGUCUAAGCAGUAAGGCUGAGUAUUAGGCAAAUCCGGUACUCGUUAAGGCUGAGCUGUGAUGGGGAGAAGACAUUG